rnacentral:rRNA from 1 species
ACAUACUCGGCAAAGCUCUAGAGAUAGAGUGGAGGUUAUUCCGGGGAUACAGGUGGUGCAUGGUUGUCGUCAGCUCGUGUCGUGAGAUGUUGGUUAAGUCCCGCAACGAGCGCAACCCUUGUCUUUAGUUACCAUCAUUCAGUUGGGACUCUAGAGAGACUGCCGGUGAUAAACCGGAGGAAGGUGGGGAAUGACGUCAAAUCAUCAUGCCCCUUAUGGCCUGGGCUACAAACGUAAUACAAUGGCGUAUACAAAGGGAUGCGAAAGGGCGACCUGGAGCAAAACUCACAAAGUACGUCUCAGUUCAGAUUGGAGUCUGCAACUCGACUCCAUGAAGGCGGAAUCGCUAGUAAUCGCGGAUCAGCAUGCCGCGGUGAAUACGUUCUCGGGGUUU